AGUAUGCAGAGGUUGGAACUGCAAGGUAAUGACCCCUCCGGUGCUCGAGCAUUGUUGGCACGUGAGCAGUUUAUGCUUAACGCUAACUGGCCUGUGGACAGGCCUGUCUAUGGUGAGGGGGUGGGCGCUGAUGCUGAUGCUGAUGAUGAUGAUGAUGUUGAUGAUGAGGCUACCGGUUCUGAGGCCGGUAGCGAGGAGGAGUCCUGAGCCCUUAGUGGGUUAAGUUUUUGUGUGUUUUCAAUUUUUAUGUUAUUUUUAUUUGUAUUUUCGGAUUUUGUAUUUUGACCAUGGUGUUGUACUAUUGGGGUGUUUUGUCCCCCAUGAACAAAUUUAUAUUUUAUGUUAAUGUUAUUUAUUUAUGUUUUUAAUUUUGUGUGUUUAAUAAAUUUUUGGUUGAUUGAGUGGCAAACCCUUCUAGAUUGGUUGCUCCUCA
rnacentral:lncRNA from 1 species